rnacentral:misc_RNA from 1 species
AUGGAAACCACCAACGACAUGGACAACUUCAACUUCUUCGAAUCCACAAAAACCGUGGAAUUCACCUACCCAAUCUGGUGGUCAACAAAGGCCACUCCAACCGAAUGUGAUAAAUCAGUUACAAGAUUAUAUUUGCAGAGACGUAAAUGGCUAUUAUUUAUUGGAAAACAAAUGUGACGAGUACAUUUUAUGCAAGAACAAUACCGCAUACAAAAACAUGUGUCCUGAUGGUCUUCAUUUUAAUCCUGUAGCCCGCUAUCCCGCUUACCCCUGCGCUUACCCUACAGAAGUUAAAUGUCAAAUCCCGUCUAUAAAACAGCCAGCACAGCCAACUAGCGAAUGUCCGCAUCGUUUCGG